AGCGAACGCUGGCGGCAGGCCUAACACAUGCCAGUCGAACGGAUCCUUCGGGAUUAGUGGCGGACGGGUGAGUAACACGUGGGAACGUGCCCUUUGGUUCGGAACAACUCAGGGAAACUUGAGCUAAUACCGGAUGUGCCCUUCGGGGGAAAGAUUUAUCGCCAUUGGAGCGGCCCGCGUCUGAUUAGCUAGUUGGUGAGGUAACGGCCCACCAAGGCGACGAUCAGUAUCUGGUCUGAGAGGAUGAUCAGCCACACUGGGACUGAGACACGGCCCAGACUCCUACGGGAGGCAGCAGUGGGGAAUCUUGCGCAAUGGGCGAAAGCCUGACGCAGCCAUGCCGCGUGAAUGAUGAAGGUCUUAGGAUUGUAAAAUUCUUUCAGCGGGGACGAUAAUGACGGUACCCGCAGAAGAAGCGCCGGCUAACUUCGUG
rnacentral:rRNA from 1 species